AAUAAGCCUUCUUGGACCAAAAUACCCAUCCAAGAGGUCUCUUUGAAGAUUCAUUCAAACAGCCAUCACAAGAAGGGAACACCAUAUUCUCAAGGAAUAUAUGAGUGAAGAAUUUACUAGGAUAGAACAUUCAUUGGUUCAUCAAGCUGGCAGAUGAGUAAAUACAAAUAUGGAAGAGACUAUGCCCAGAGAAACAUAUUCUGAUCCCUCAUACACUGCUGCUUCAAU
rnacentral:lncRNA from 1 species